UACGUAGGGGGCAAGCGUUGUCCGGAAUCAUUGGGCGUAAAGCGCUUGUAGGCGGCUUGUUAAGUCGCGUGUGAAAUCCCUUGGCUCAACCAAGGAAGUGCGCGCGAAACUGGCGAGCUCGAGUGCCGGAGAGGGUCGCGGAAUUCCCGGUGUAGAGGUGAAAUUCGUAGAUAUCGGGAGGAACACCAGUGGCGAAGGCGGCGACCUGGACGGACACUGACGCUGAGACGCGAAAGCGUGGGUAGCAAACAGG
rnacentral:rRNA from 1 species